rnacentral:rRNA from 1 species
UGAGGAAUAUUGGGCAAUGGGCGAAAGCCUGACCCAGCAACGCCGCGUGAGGGAAGAAGGUUUUCGGAUUGUAAACCUCUGUCCUAAGUGACGAAGGAAGUGACGGUAGCUUAGGAGGAAGCCCCGCUAACUACGUGCCAGCAGCCGCGGUAAUACGUAGGGGGCGAGCGUUGUCCGGAAUGACUGGGCGUAAAGGGCGUGUAGGCGGUUUUUUAAGUCUGGAGUGAAAGUCCUGCUUUCAAGGUGGGAAUUGCUUUGGAUACUGGAGAACUUGAGUGCGGAAGAGGUAAGUGGAAUUCCCAGUGUAGCGGUGAAAUGCGUAGAGAUUGGGAGGAACACCAGUGGCGAAGGCGACUUACUGGGCCGUAACUGACGCUGAGGCGCGAAAGCGUGGGGAGCGAACAGGAUUAGAUACCC